CAUACAGAAUGCCUUGCCUCCCACAGUGACCGGAGUGGAGUGCCCAUAUCCAAUCAUAGCCAACACAACAGUUGCAAAGUAGAAUGCCCCAGCAAAUUUCCACUGUGGCCCAGCCUUGUGCGUGUCGGACUCCAAAGCAUCGAAGACUGCUGCACCAAUUAGAAGAUACGUAAAUGUGCACACCACAAGAGAGAGUGUACGGACAUUCUGGCGCUUCAUUCUCAUUAAAAAGUUGGAUUAUUUAGCCACAACAAAUAUUAUUUCACGCACCCUGACGCAUCAUCUGAAAAUAUUUUUUUUCCAUAUAACAGUAAUAAAUUGACACUAUAAAGCGACUGAAAUAGUUCAUAAAGGAAUCAUAGAAUUUUUUUAACUUACCAUUAAUAGUAAUUUUACUCCUGUCUAUUUAUAAAUACAAAAAAUCUGCCUCUAAUGUCGGUCACACAAUAAACAACAAAAUAGUGUGAAUGUUUUCUAUGUACUUUUCUGGCAUUUAUAUUAUAAUGUAUAGAACGUGAAAAUUGUACAUAUACUAAAAUAUUUAUACAUUGUAUUUAAUAAAAAUACGUCGCAAAAGGGUAUAAUAGUUUCACUUAGUUUUGUAAAAA